UACGGAGGGUGCGAGCGUUGUCCGGAAUCACUGGGCGUAAAGGGCGCGUAGGCGGCCUGAUAAGUAGGGGGUGAAAUCCUGCGGCUUAACCGCAGGGCUGCCUUCUAAACUGUCAGGCUAGAGCACAGUAGAGGCAGGUGGAAUUCCCGGUGUAGCGGUGGAAUGCGUAGAGAUCGGGAAGAACACCGGUGGCGAAAGCGCUCUGCUAGGCCGCAACUGACACUGAGGGACGAAAGCUAGGGGAGCGAAUGGG
rnacentral:rRNA from 1 species